rnacentral:tRNA from 1 species
GCAAUAUACUUUAAAAAAAAGGUUUGAUUUGCAUUCAGUUAUUAAGGGUGUUCCUUUAUUGCCCG